rnacentral:rRNA from 1 species
CUACGGCUAAUACCGCAUGAUGCCUGAGGGCCAAAGCGAAAGUCGUUUGAGGAGGAGCCUGCGUCUGAUUAGGUAGUUGGUGGGGUAAAGGCCUACCAAGCCUACGAUCAGUAGCUGGUCUGAGAGGAUGAUCAGCCACAUUGGGACUGAGACACGGCCCAAACUCCUACGGGAGGCAGCAGUGGGGAAUAUUGGACAAUGGGCGCAAGCCUGAUCCAGCAAUGCCGCGUGGGUGAAGAAGGUCUUCGGAUUGUAAAGCCCUUUUGGCGGGGACGAUGAUGACGGUACCCGCAGAAUAAGCUCCGGCUAACUUCGUG